CGGUUAAGUUAGAAAGGGCGCACGGUGGAUGCCUUGGCACUAGGAGCCGAUGAAGGACGGGACGAACACCGAUAUGCUUCGGGGAGCUGUAAGCAAGCUUUGAUCCGGAGAUUUCCGAAUGGGGAAACCCACCACUCGUAAUGGAGUGGUAUCCAUAUCUGAAUACAUAGGAUAUGAGAAGGCAGACCCGGGGAACUGAAACAUCUAAGUACCCGGAGGAAGAGAAAGCAAAUGCGAUUCCCUGAGUAGCGGCGAGCGAAACGGGACCAGCCCAAACCAAGAGGCUUGCCUCUUGGGGUUGUAGGACACUCUGUACGGAGUUACAAAGGAACGAGGUAGAUGAAGAGGUCUGGAAAGGCCCGCCAUAGAAGGUAACAGCCCUGUAGUCAAAACUUCGUUCUCUCCUGAGUGGAUCCUGAGUACGGCGGAACACGUGAAAUUCCGUCGGAAUCCGGGAGGACCAUCUCCCAAGGCUAAAUACUCCCUAGUGACCGAUAGUGAACCAGUACCGUGAGGGAAAGGUGAAAAGCACCCCGGAAGGGGAGUGAAAGAGAUCCUGAAACCGUGUGCCUACAAGUAGUCAGAGCCCGUUAAGGGUGAUGGCGUGCCUUUUGUAGAAUGAACCGGCGAGUUACGAUCCCGUGCAAGGUUAAGCAGAAGAUGCGGAGCCGCAGCGAAAGCGAGUCUGAAUAGGGCGAAUUGAGUACGUGGUCGUAGACCCGAAACCAGGUGAUCUACCCAUGUCCAGGGUGAAGUUCAGGUAACACUGAAUGGAGGCCCGAACCCACGCACGUUGAAAAGUGCGGGGAUGAGGUGUGGGUAGGGGUGAAAUGCCAAUCGAACCUGGAGAUAGCUGGUUCUCUCCGAAAUAGCUUUAGGGCUAGCCUCAAGGUAAGAGUCUCGGAGGUAGAGCACUGAUUGGACUAGGGGCCCCUACCGGGUUACCGAAUUCAGUCAAACUCCGAAUGCCGAUGACUUAUCCUUGGGAGUCAGACUGCGAGUGAUAAGAUCCGUAGUCGAAAGGGAAACAGCCCAGACCGCCAGCUAAGGUCCCAAAGUAUACGUUAAGUGGAAAAGGAUGUGGAGUUGCUUAGACAACCAGGAUGUUGGCUUAGAAGCAGCCACCAUUUAAAGAGUGCGUAAUAGCUCACUGGUCGAGUGACUCUGCGCCGAAAAUGUACCGGGGCUAAACGUAUCACCGAAGCUGCGGACUGUUCUUCGAACAGUGGUAGGAGAGCGUUCUAAGGGCUGUGAAGCAAGACCGGAAGGACUUGUGGAGCGCUUAGAAGUGAGAAUGCCGGUAUGAGUAGCGAAAGAGGGGUGAGAAUCCCCUCCACCGAAUGCCUAAGGUUUCCUGAGGAAGGCUCGUCCGCUCAGGGUUAGUCGGGACCUAAGCCGAGGCCGAAAGGCGUAGGCGAUGGAUAACAGGUUGAUAUUCCUGUACCACCUCCUCACCAUUUGAGCAAUGGGGGACGCAGGAGGAUAGGGUAAGCGCGGUAUUGGAUAUCCGCGUCCAAGCAGUUAGGCUGGGAAAUAGGCAAAUCCGUUUCCCGUGAAGGCUGAGCUGUGAUGGCGAGCGAAUUAUAGUAGCGAAGUUCCUGAUUCCACACUGCCAAGAAAAGCCUCUAGCGAGGUGAGAGGUGCCCGUACCGCAAACCGACACAGGUAGGCGAGGAGAGAAUCCUAAGGUGAUCGAGAGAACUCUCGUUAAGGAACUCGGCAAAAUGACCCCGUAACUUCGGGAGAAGGGGUGCUCUGUUAGGGUGCAAGCCCGAGAGAGCCGCAGUGAAUAGGCCCAGGCGACUGUUUAGCAAAAACACAGGUCUCUGCGAAGCCGUAAGGCGAAGUAUAGGGGCUGACGCCUGCCCGGUGCUGGAAGGUUAAGAGGAGCGCUUAGCGUAAGCGAAGGUGCGAAUUGAAGCCCCAGUAAACGGCGGCCGUAACUAUAACGGUCCUAAGGUAGCGAAAUUCCUUGUCGGGUAAGUUCCGACCCGCACGAAAGGCGCAACGAUCUGGGCACUGUCUCAACGAGAGACUCGGUGAAAUUAUAGUACCUGUGAAGAUGCAGGUUACCCGCGACAGGACGGAAAGACCCCGUGGAGCUUUACUGCAGCCUGAUAUUGAAUGUUGGUACAGCUUGUACAGGAUAGGUAGGAGCCUUGGAAACCGGAGCGCCAGCUUCGGUGGAGGCAUCGGUGGGAUACUACCCUGGCUGUAUUGACCUUCUAACCCGCCGCCCUUAUCGGGCGGGGAGACAGUGUCAGGUGGGCAGUUUGACUGGGGCGGUCGCCUCCUAAAAGGUAACGGAGGCGCCCAAAGGUUCCCUCAGAAUGGUUGGAAAUCAUUCGCAGAGUGUAAAGGCACAAGGGAGCUUGACUGCGAGACCUACAAGUCGAGCAGGGACGAAAGUCGGGCUUAGUGAUCCGGUGGUUCCGCAUGGAAGGGCCAUCGCUCAACGGAUAAAAGCUACCCCGGGGAUAACAGGCUUAUCUCCCCCAAGAGUCCACAUCGACGGGGAGGUUUGGCACCUCGAUGUCGGCUCAUCGCAUCCUGGGGCUGUAGUCGGUCCCAAGGGUUGGGCUGUUCGCCCAUUAAAGCGGUACGCGAGCUGGGUUCAGAACGUCGUGAGACAGUUCGGUCCCUAUCCGUCGCGGGCGCAGGAAAUUUGAGAGGAGCUGUCCUUAGUACGAGAGGACCGGGAUGGACGCACCGCUGGUGUACCAGUUGUUCUGCCAAGGGCAUCGCUGGGUAGCUAUGUGCGGACGGGAUAAGUGCUGAAAGCAUCUAAGCAUGAAGCCCCCCUCAAGAUGAGAUUUCCCAUUCCGCAAGGAAGUAAGAUCCCUGAAAGAUGAUCAGGUUGAUAGGUCUGAGGUGGAAGUGUGGCGACACAUGGAGCUGACAGAUACUAAUCGAUCGAGGACUUAACCAAUUU
rnacentral:rRNA from 1 species